rnacentral:rRNA from 1 species
UACGGAGGGUGCAAGCGUUAAUCGGAAUUACUGGGCGUAAAGGGCGCGUAGGCGGUUCGAUAAGUCCCGUGUGAAAGCCCCCGGCUCAACUGGGGAACUGCACGGGAAACUGACGGACUUGAGUUCGGGAGAGGGAAGCGGAAUUCCGGGUGUAGCGGUGAAAUGCGUAGAUAUCUGGAGGAACACCGGUGGCGAAGGCGGCAUCCUGGACCAAUAUUGACGCUGAGGAGCGAAAGCCAGGGGAGCAAACGGG